ensembl:lncRNA
UGCUCUGCGAGUCUUCUGUCACCAUCUUGGCAGGGUAAGGUGACCUCUGAGGAUGUGCCCAUGUGCUUCUCUUUGGAGGAAUGGAAUCUGCUUGAUAAGGCUCAGUGAUCCAUAAACCGUGAUGUGAUGCUGGAGAACUUGGCACUUGUAACCCCCUGGAUUAACAAAAUCUGAAAGCUGCAAGAAAAUAGUGUGCUGAUUUCUAUACAAAACUCCCACCGCCAAUCAGGGACCAGGCACCACCGGGAGAAUGUACAGGGCAGAGCGGGUCGGCACCGUGUUCCGCAAAUGGCACAAGAGGCCCCUCGAGAAACCAGGCUCGGUUCCGUUCACAGUGCCUCUGAGAACGCUCCCUCCGCAGUCACCCGCGUGGGACCCAGGUUGGUGGUGUGUAGUGAGGAUAAGGAAGCAUCUGAGCGGAGCGUUUUGGCCGAUGUAAUGCCGCAGGACAGGACCCUCAAAG